AUUGAACGCUGGCGGCAUGCUUUACACAUGCAAGUCGAACGGUAACAGGCCUUCGGGUGCUGACGAGUGGCGAACGGGUGAGUAAUGCAUCGGAACGUACCCAGAGGUGGGGGAUAACGCAGCGAAAGCUGUUCUAAUACUGCCUGUGAUCUGAGGAUGAAAGCGGGGGACCGAGCAGCAAUGUUUGGCCUCGCGCCUUUGUAGCGGCCGAUGUCGGAUUAGCUAGUUGGUGGGGUAAAGGCCUACCAAGGCGACGAUCCGUAGCUGGUCUGAGAGGACGACCAGCCACACUGGGACUGAGACAAGGCCCAGACUCCUACGGGAGGCAGCAGUGGGGAAUUUUGGAGAAUGGGCGCAAGCCUGAUCCAGCAAUGCCGCGUGCGGGAAGAUGGCCUUCGGGUUGUAAACCGCUUUUGGCAGGAGCGAAACGGUGUCCGCUAAUACCGGGCGCUAAUGACGGUACCUGCAGAAUAAGCACCGGCUAACUACGUG
rnacentral:rRNA from 1 species